CUUUUGAUGGCGACCGGCGCACGGGUGAGUAACACGUAUCCAACCUGCCUCAUACUCGGGGAUAGCCUUUCGAAAGAAAGAUUAAUACCCGAUGUCGUAGUCCUACCGCAUGAUGGGAUUAUUAAAGAAUUUCGGUAUGGGAUGGGGAUGCGUUCCAUUAGUUAGUUGGCGGGGUAACGGCCCACCAAGACAACGAUGGAUAGGGGUUCUGAGAGGAAGGUCCCCCACAUUGGAACUGAGACACGGUCCAAACUCCUACGGAAGGCAGCAG
rnacentral:rRNA from 1 species